rnacentral:rRNA from 1 species
GAUGAACGCUGGCGGCGUGCCUAAUACAUGCAAGUCGAGCGAACAGAUUAGGAGCUUCCUCCUUUUACGUUAGCGACGGACGGGCGAGUAACACGUGGAUAACCUACCCAUUUUACUGGGAUAACAACGGGAAACCGUUGCCAAUACCGUUAAAUACAAUUAACCGCAGGGCUCAAUUGAUAAAGUCGCUUUUGCUGUCUCUAAUAGCUAGUGCCGCCCCGCUUCAUCUAGUUGGUAAGGAAACGGCCUACCAAGGCAACGUGGCCUAGCCGCCCUAAUAGUGUGAUCGGCCACACUCGAACUGAGACACGGUCCAGACUCCUACGGGAGGCAGCAGUAGGGAAUCUUCCGCAAUGGGCGAAAGCCUGACGGAGCAACGCCGCGUGAGUGAUGAAGGUCUUCGGAUCGUAAAUCUCUGUUAUUCGGGAAGAACAAAUGUGUAAGUAACUAUGCACGUCUUGACGGUACCUAAUCAGAAAGCCACGGCUAACUACGUG